UGGGUGGCUUAGAAACAAAGUUAGGCUUCCAAGUCCGAGAUCAGGGUGCCAGUGCAGUGAGGGCCCUCUGCCAGGCACUAAUCCCAUUCUUGAGAGUUACACCCUUAUGACUUAAGCACUCCCAAAGGCCAUACCUCGAGAACUUCAGUGUGAGCUCCAGGGAGGGGGCACGCUAACAUUGAGAUCAUAGCAAAACAGGAAUACAAAAACAAGAGGUUAAAAAACUCAAAGUAGGAUACAUCCAAAGAAGCCCACACCAAGAUUUAAUCAAAUCAUGAAAAGUCAAAGAAUCUUAAAAGCAGCAAGAGAAGAAAUAAGUGCAAAAAUCGUCAAGAAAAUAAUAGCAAACAGAAUUCACCAGCACAUUAAAACAAUGAUAAAUGAUGACCAAGUGAGAUUUAUUCCAGAAAAGCACAAAUAGCUCAAUGGAAGAAAAGUCAGUCUCUGUAAUACACCAUGUUUCCAGAGAGAUGGGGGGAACCCCAUGUGGUCAUCUCUGACAAUCCUCAAGACCCUUUCAAUAGUAAAAACAUUCAACAAACUAGGACUAGAAGGAAACUAAACAAAAUGAAGAUCAUCCAUGAAAAGGCCACAAGUGUGAUACCAUUCAUUUUCAAUGAUGAAAGACUGAAGAGAUCAGGAACCAAAAAAUGGAUGUCUGCUUUCACCACUUUGAACAAAAUACUAGAAGUCCUAGCCAGAACAGACAAGAAAAGGCAAAGUUAUCAGAUCUCACUUCACACACAACAUGAUCUGAUACGUAGAAAGUCCUAACAGAUCACACACACACACUUGUUAGAACAAAUAAAGUGACAGGAUACAGAGUCAACACAAAAAUUGUUUUUGUAUACUAAGGAAUAAAUUUAACCAAGGAGGCAAAGCUAGUGGAGGGGAUGGAAUUCCAGUUGAGCUAUUUCAAAUCCUGAAAGACGAUGCUGUGAAAGUGCUGUACUCAAUGUGCCAGCAAUUUUGGAAAACUCAGCAGUGGCCACGGGACUUAAGCUGUGGUACAUAUACACAAUGGAGUAUUACUCAGCCAUUAAAAAGAAUACAUUUGAAUCAGUUCUAAUGAGGUGGAUGAAACUGGAGCCUAUUAUACAGAGUGAAGUAAGCC
ensembl:lncRNA